CCUACGGGGGGCUGCAGUGGGGAAUAUUGCACAAUGGGCGCAAGCCCGAUGCAGCCAUGCCGCGUGUGUGAAGAAGGCCUUCGGGUUGUAAAGCACUUUCAGCGGGGAGGAAGGCGUUAAGGUUAAUAACCUUGUCGAUUGACAUUACCCGCAGAAGAAGCACCGGCUAACUCCGUGCCAGCAGCCGCGGUAAUACGGAGGGUGCAAGCGUUAAUCGGAAUUACUGGGCGUAAAGCGCACGCAGGCGGUCUGUCAAGUCGGAUGUGAAAUCCCCGGGCUCAACCUGGGAACUGCAUUCGAAACUGGCAGGCUAGAGUCUUGUAGAGGGGGGUAGAAUUCCAGGUGUAGCGGUGAAAUGCGUAGAGAUCUGGAGGAAUACCGGUGGCGAAGGCGGCCCCCUGGACAAAGACUGACGCUCAGGUGCGAAAGCGUGGGGAGCAAACAGGAUUAGAUACCCUUGUAGUC
rnacentral:rRNA from 1 species